CCUACGGGUGGCAGCAGUGGGGAAUAUUGGGCAAUGGGCGAAAGCCUGACCCAGCAACGCCGCGUGAAGGAAGAAGGCUUUCGGGUUGUAAACCUCUUUUGACAGGGAAGAGCAGAAGACGGUAUCUGAAGAAGAAGCCCCGGCUAACUACGUGCCAGCAGCCGCGGUAAUACGUAGGGCGCAAGCGUUAUCCGGAUUUACUGGGUGUAAAGGGAGCGUAGACGGCUGCGCAAGUCAGAAGUGAAAGCCCGGGGCUCAACCGCGGGACUGCUUUUGAAACUGUGUAGCUAGAGUGCAGGGGAGGUAAGUGGAAUUCCUAGUGUAGCGGUGAAAUGCGUAGAUAUUAGGAGGAACACCGGUGGCGAAGGCGGCUUACUGGACUGUAACUGACGUUGAGGCUCGAAAGCGUGGGGAGCAAACAGGAUUAGAUACCCCUGUAGUC
rnacentral:rRNA from 1 species